AUGAGAUUUGGUACAUCCAGCAAGCAGAUAAGUGUUUUUGUUUGUAUUUUGUUUAGUUAGGAUUGUACCAUAUUGUUUCCCUCACAGAUUGCCCAAAGAUAUUCUUCUGCCAGGACUAAGACCAACGUCAUGAUCAACAAGUGUAUAGCACCCUAUCUUACACAUGAACUAGUGAAGAACAUCUGCAAUCAGCAUUUUACAUUAGCGACUGAGGGUUCUGCAAAGUUACAACAUCCCAUGGAUCAAUUGUGUGGAUCUUGCAGUUGACAAUGCCAGUGUCAACAUGGGUAUCAGAAAUUCAGUUAGGAGCAGGGUCCUGGACCAGAAUCCUUCUGUAUUUGUCCUAGGCUGUCCCUGCCACAUUGUAGACAAUAAUACACAUGCUGGAGGGUUGCUGUAUUCAGAGAUAUCAGGCUUUGAUGUUCAGGAUUUUUGUGUUGAUCUUGCAUACUGGUUCAAAUCCAGCACAAAGAGGAAGUACAUGCGUGACGGAAAGUUAUCCUUGCAUAACGCAUUUAUUGUACUUUGUGAAUAUUGUGAGAUGAAAUGGCAAUCAUUUAUUGAAGGGUCAUACUAUUGUAUAAUACUUGUAUAAUUAUUAAAAUAUUUUAUUUAUUUAUUUAUUUAAGAGUUAUGUGUGUUUUGUGACACAAAGUACAUGGAGGUACUGCAGCAUUUGAGCAUCAGGUGGCUCAGUUUGGACCUAGCUAUGAACUGUAUACUCCGUCUCUACAACGCUAUUUUAGAUCCACAGAGACAAGACCCACACCUCCAUCCCCUUUCAUGGGCAGAUAAGGAGUUUCAUACGAAAGCUGAGGUCAAUGUUCCUGAAGCCUGUAGCUUUCAAAAUGACAAGUUUAGAGACUAUUGAUCUUGUAGGACAAGAAAAUCAAUUGCCAGACCUCCAGCUUGGCCCUACGACUGACAACAAGUGCCACUGUGAGAAGGCUGCAUGAGGCUGGCAAGAUUCCCUCCAGUGAUGUUGCAAACCUCUACAAAGCAGCAAUGGGCUUUCUGGUGAGGUCUACAGGGGAACCUUGUAUACCUUGACAAAGCUGCCACUGAAUGACACAAUUCUCUCACAUGCUCAGUUUGUGGACUUCAGGCAGAGACUGGACACCAAAAGGGAUGAUGUGCUUUACUUUGUACAAAGUCACCGUCUGCCAUUUGACAAUGCCAGAGAACAGGACAGCAUGGGUGUGGAGUUUCUGGAUUUUCAAAUGCUAGAAGACACCAACAUCCCUGAAAGGGUCUGGAAAACUGCCCUGGUCAAGGUGGAUGGGGAGAAAGAAUUCCACUCAACGGACAUCAUAAGGGCACACUUAAGUGCCAUGAAGAGCUGUGCUCUGCCUACCACACUCAAAUGCAGAUUCUGAGAAAACCUUCUGUGAUAGGCCUCAACAAAACUGAAACAAGUAAAAAAUUAUCACUAGAGGGUACAAUGUCCUCUGUAAUGUGUAACAAGAUGACCCAGAUGGAACCAUGCUACAAAUAUGAGCCACCUCUGCAGAUGAUUAAAAAUUCAGUCAGCAGCCUCAGAAUACAACAAAGAGCAUUCAGCAAAAUAGGUUCAUAAAACGUCAGGAAAAUGUCUUUCCUAUUUUAAUUCAAAAGAAAAGCAUGAAUUGUAAAUUUACAUUUACAUUGUUUUCAUGACCGUUAGGCAUAUUUUAUCCCCUAAUUCUCAUUUCUGAACAGCAAAAAAGGUAAUUUGAUUCAUAAAUCUCAAUCCAGCCUGGUAGCCAAAGUCGGCAACCCUGUAGUACAGAAUAUGCAGAUUUCUUUAAAAUGAUCAGUUAUCAGUUUUUUAUACUUACUUACCCACACUUCUCAGUACUAUGUUCACUCUUUCCAAACUCUUUACAUAGUUGGCUUUACCAGAGUGCAGGUCAGUACACCAGUUAACCUCACAUCCAUAAUGCACUAUAACUAACGAAACACUUCAUACACACCUCAAAACCAACUCAUUCUACCAAAACACUAGCAAAGCAUCUCUCGCCCAACAACAUAUAGCUGGAGUAUACUGGAAACACACCCUGGAUUGUACACCAGUCAACUGCAGUAACCACACACACACAUACAAAAUGAUAACAAAGAGCAAUUUGUCUUAGCCAAUCCACCUACUGGCAUGUUUUAGGAGGAGGCAGGAAGCCAGAGGAAACCUACAUGGACAUCGGGAGAACAAGCACAGAAACUCCACACAGAUGGGACCCCGAGCUCAGGAUUGAAGCGGGAACCCUGGAGCUGUGAGGAGACAACGCUACCCACUGCAUCACCACGCUGCUUACAGGUCCACAGAUUUCCCCUUUUGUAUAGAUGGUAAUGAAGUGAAAAACAGAACACCUGGGUAAGGCUAAAUUGGAAAUAACCUAUGGUUUGUUUGUUUAUUCUUCACAAUCUUAAUUUUUAUUACUAUAGAAUGUAUCGAUUUGAUCUUGUAUUGAUUAGUUUUUGAAAACUGUAUGUGAAUAUGUGAAAAAUAAUUUGUAGAUACACAGAUUUGUUGGUUGAGUUUGAGUGAGAAAAGAAUUCAUGGAUUUUGAAAGCUGAGGUUAUUCAAUCCUUUGUGUCAAAGCAAUAAAAAUUGAUACACAGUUCAGUUCAAAUAGACUGCUGUUGUGAGUUUUGAAAAUGUGAACACAAUAUUAAUAAAGGCACUUUUUUUUUAAACAAACAAACAAAAAAAAUGCUGCAGAUAAAGUGUAAUGUAGGAAGUGAAGCUGGUGGUCACUGACAGAGGGACAGCAGAAAAAGGUGUGAAAUUCACACAUCUAUUUACAGCUAAGACCAGAAUGAAGAGGUGACGUACAAGUUACAGGAAAUUAACUUUUCUAUUACCCUUUAUAU